rnacentral:rRNA from 1 species
GGCUCAGGAUGAACGCUAGCUACAGGCUUAACACAUGCAAGUCGAGGGGAAACGACAUCGAAAGCUUGCUUUUGGUGGGCGUCGACCGGCGCACGGGUGAGUAACGCGUAUCCAACCUGCCCACCACUUGGGGAUAACCUUGCGAAAGUAAGACUAAUGCCCCAUGUGUCCUCAGACGGCAUCAGACGAGGACGAAAGAUUUAUCGGAAGUGGAUGGGGAUGCGCCUGAUUAGGCAGUUGGCGGGGCAACGGCCCACCAAGCCGACGAUCAGUAGGGGUUCUGAGAGGAAGGUCCCCCACAUUGGAACUGAGACACGGUCCAAACUCCUACGGGAGGCAGCAGUGAGGAAUAUUGGUCAAUGGGCGAGAGCCUGAACCAGCCAAGUAGCGUGCAGGACGACGGCCCUAUGGGUUGUAAACUGCUUUUGCGCGGGGAUAAAGUGCGCCACGUGUGGCUCAUUGCAGGUACCGCGCGAAUAAGGACCGGCUAAUUCCGUG